GGAUUUCUGAAAAACACUGUUCUGAGGCUU
rnacentral:piRNA from 1 species